rnacentral:lncRNA from 12 species
CUAAUAACUACUAAAAAGUGUUUUAAAAAACUCUUGCUGAUAUUAAGAACACCAAUCUCUAUUCUCUCCACAGAACCUAUAAAACCACACCACACAUAAAAGAAGGAAUGCCAUAUGUGACUCUCUUCUCGUCAGCACUGCUAAUCAUGAGGAUAACUCACACUGGAGCCCAGGGAGGGUCUGUCCACUCAACCAAGAAGGCGAGCAUGGAAGCUUUGCUAGAAAGAGCCCUCAGUUCUAGCAUCUCAAUCAGGAGAAGCCAGCGAAAUGUAUGAACUCUGUGUGAGGAUCUCCUGAGCAUAGUGUUUUUAAAGAGUGUGGCUUCCUGGUCAGACUCCCUGGGUUCACAUCUCCGCUCUGCCAUUUGCCAGCUGUAUACCUUGGGGUAACUUACUCAACCGCUAUUCCUCAGACUUCUGAUCUUCAAUGAGGAUAAUCACAUUUACCUUGCAGUGCUAUUGUAAAGGUAAAGUGAGUUAACAUACUUCAAAACCAAAGGAUGAUUUUUGCACAUAUGAAGUGCAUAAUAAAUGUUU